CGCGGCCGCGAUAAAGCCCUCCGAGCACCACCGGAUUGCGUCUCGCUCUGCCUGGCCUCGCUCGCCCCCUUUUCGCUGAGUUACGGUCUUCCUCCCUGUUGUCAUCUCCCUGCUCCGCCAUGAAAUGCGUCUCUGCUCUGUACAUCAUGAGGCACCGGGAGAGGCCAUCUCUGAGGAUCUCUAAGCGAUCACAGUCAUGGCCCGCCGUUUUCUCCAGCCCUCACUCGCUGAUGAACUCUGCAAACACAAGCUGGGGGGGUUCACAGGGCUAAUGAUUGUUACCCCCUAAAAUGUUCCUUUUUUUGGCCCCUUCUCUUUGCAAGAGCUAAAAGGCUCUCUGGCCAUGCCACUGCUCUCCUUUUGCAGUGUUUUGUGUGUGAAGCAAGAGAAGGUUCUGGGGAGGUAGAGUCUGGCUUCAGGUGACUGGCAGGGAAAAUCCUUCUCCGUCUCUCCUCACUUCAAAGCAGAGCAGAAAACAUCAAGGGCAUGCGUCUCCUUGCAUCUUGUCAGUGCCCAGAAAAAAACACUUCAAUAGCAGUGAUUUGCCUAUGGCUUUCAAAGUGGUGCUCUUAAACUUCUGUCACGAUUUCUGCCUAUACUUUGUAGGCAAAAGAACUGGGAGACUAAAUAAGAGACACUGUCUGGCGCCUUAUCUGUUGAGCAUUACUACCUUCCCCGAUCCUCUGUUACUGACUUAAAAUCUCAGGGGGUAAGAUGAAGGAGACCCUACUGCUGUUGGCUCUUACACAUUGCAUAUGCAUUAAGAGUUUAUUCUGAGUGACUUUUUAAACAAAAUGGUCCUUUGCCUCAGAUGCCUAGCGCUACUUCUGGGACUCUUGCCAUGGAAAAGAUAUCAAGCGCCUGG
rnacentral:lncRNA from 1 species